UGGGAUGUAGCGCAAAUGGAAAGAGCAGUGUCCUUCUAAGGCAUAGGCUGUGGGUUCAAGUCCCAUCAUCCCAUUA
rnacentral:tRNA from 1 species